rnacentral:rRNA from 1 species
CCAGACUCCUACGGGAGGCAGCAGUCGGGAAUAUUGCACAAUGGAGGAAACUCUGAUGCAGUGACACCGCGUAUAGGAAGAAGGUUUUCGGAUUGUAAACUAUUUUAGACAGGGAAGAAAAAAGACAGUACCUGUAGAAUAAGCCCCGGCUAACUACGUGCCAGCAGCCGCGGUAAUACGUAGGGGGCAAGCGUUAUCCGGAUUUACUGGGUGUAAAGGGAGCGUAGACGGCCAGACAAGUCAGAAGUGAAAGCCCAGGGCUCAACCCUGGGACUGCUUUUGAAACUGCCGGGCUGGAGUGCAGGAGAGGUAAGCGGAAUUCCUAGUGUAGCGGUGAAAUGCGUAGAUAUUAGGAGGAACACCAGUGGCGAAGGCGGCUUACUGGACUGUAACUGACGUUGAGGCUCGAAAGCGUGGGGAGCAAACAGGAUUAGAUACCCGCGUA